rnacentral:lncRNA from 1 species
GCAUGGUUUUGGUUGGUUGGAUGGCUGAAUGAAACACAACCUUGCCUGCAGACAUCAAAGCCUGUCUCCAGCCGUAGCAGGCUCUGCCUCCAGCCUUUCGUCUCUCCGGCAUUUGUAAAAUGUUGAUGGCCAAGCAUGAUACCUCAUGCCUGAGACGCCAGCUCUCAGGAGGCCCCCGGCAAGUUCAAGGCCAGCUUGCUCUACAUGAUCCAAAGAAGCGUCUUUCUCUGAUUCCUUUUAUCUGGAAGAACUGAGAGGAGACGGGCGAACGGUUGUGAGAAUCUCUUUAAGGGGCAGUCCUGGAAUGAGUGAAGGUUUGAACGCUUUUCUUAAAAUCAGAGUCCCGGGAAAUUUUCAUUUUUUCUUCGGUUUUGGCGCCGUGCACCGCUGACUCCUGGCCGCCUGUCUCUCCUAUGGCCUGGCAUCUUCACAGAUGCAGAUUUUGAAAAUGCAUUUCUCCUUUAUCUGAGAGCCCCUCCUGCCCCCUCCUCCAGGACCGACACACUAUGCGUGGAACCUGUGAUGCUAGGCCAUCCUUCCUAUGGUUUGACAUAUUGUCUCACCAGUAAAGGGUAGAGCUGGAACCCACCAUGAAAUCCUGGCCCAGCAAAAUACGUGCCCUAGAGAAGAAGGACCACAAACUCAAGGUCACCUGGGGCUACAUACUUAAGAUCCAGUCUCAAAACUCCAAAUCAAACAAAAAUUGCGCUAAUAAUAAAUUGUAGGAAGUAAGAAGAUGACACCAGGUAGCAGGUCUCAGGCAGCCUCUUUCUGGCUUUAGACUCAUGAUGGCUUAGAGUAGUUUUGAACUCCCAGUAUCAUCUUCUAAAUGUGCAUCUCGACAAAAAAAAAAGGAAUGACUUCGCCGGGCGUGGUGGCGCACACCUUUAAUCCCAGCACUCGGGAGGCAGAGGCAGGCGGAUUUCUGAAUUCGAGGCUAGCCUGGUCUACAAAGUGAGCUCCAGGACAGCCAGGGCUAUACAGAGAAACCCUGUCUCGAGAAAAAAAAAAAAAAAAAAGGAAUGAUUUCUCUGAGAUAGGGCCACAUGUAGCCCAGGCAACCCUCAAACUGUGAAGUCACAGAUUAUCUGAUCCUCCUGCCUCCACCUCCCAGUGUAAUUAAAAGUACAGCUAGCCUGGUGGCACGCCAUGCCUGACAUAGAGAGAGCAUGCAUCCAACUAAGGGCUUCAUUCUUACUAAGGCAAGCAUUCUGCCUACUGAGCUACAUACAUCCCCGGUGCAGAGAGGAAUAUUUAUUAAGCCUUCAUCCCUUCCAUAAUUGGACAAUGUAUUGUCUUGAUGUUCUGAUGGGCAGGAAGUUAUUUAGGCAGUAUAUAAACUGUCAUACUACACAGGGCAAAAAUAUUGCUUGUUUUCAAAAAAACAUUAGAAUACAGUAAAAUGCACCUGUCAUGGAC